AUUGAACGCUGGCGGCAUGCCUUACACAUGCAAGUCGAACGGUAACAGGUCUUCGGAUGCUGACGAGUGGCGAACGGGUGAGUAAUACAUCGGAACGUGCCCGAUCGUGGGGGAUAACGGAGCGAAAGCUUUGCUAAUACCGCAUACGAUCUACGGAUGAAAGCAGGGGACCGCAAGGCCUUGCGCGGACGGAGCGGCCGAUGGCAGAUUAGGUAGUUGGUGGGAUAAAAGCUUACCAAGCCGACGAUCUGUAGCUGGUCUGAGAGGACGACCAGCCACWCUGGGACUGAGACACGGCCCAGACUCCUCACGGGAGGCAGCAGUGGGGAAUUUUGGACAAUGGGCGCAAGCCUGAUCCAGCCAUGCCSCGUGCAGGAUGAAGGCUUCGGGUUGUAAACUGCUUUUGUACGGAACGAAAAGACUCUGGUUAAUACCUGGGGUCCAUGACGGUACCGUAAGAAUAAGCACCGGCUAACUACGUGC
rnacentral:rRNA from 1 species